CCCGCCUAAUUUUUGUAUUUUUAGUAGAGGUGAAGUUUCACUGCAUUGACCAGGCUGGUCUUGAACUCCUAGGCUCAAGUGAUCUGCCUGUCUUGGCCUCCCAAAGUUCUGGGAUUAUAGGCAUGAGCCACUGCACCCAGCCUUAUUUUUAAAACAAGGUCUUGCUAUAUUGCCCAUGCUGGACUUUGAGCAGGUGUAGGCCACCGUGCCCAAAUAAUUUUUUUCAGACGGAGUUUCGCUCUUGUCACCCAGGCUGAGGCAGGAGAAUUGCUUGAACCUGGGAGGCGGAGGUUGCAGUGAGCCAAUAUCGCACCACUGCACUCCAGCCUGGGCGAGAGAGUGAGAUUCCAUGAAGAAAGAAAGAAAAAAGAGAAAGAGAGAUAGAGAUAGUGAAGAGCCCUAGACUGCUUUAGGCCAAGGGAAAAGGGUACAAUAGCACAUCUGGUUCCUGACUUUAAGCCAGGAAGGGAAGGGGUACCCUGGUGGGUGGCUGGGUGAAGGGUCUCUGCUGGGCCAGAGCCCCACGGGCACUUACUUUGGUAGCUUCCAGCUGAGAUUCGAGGGUCCCCGACUCUUCCACCAU
rnacentral:antisense_RNA from 1 species